rfam:Stegodyphus mimosarum contig113879, whole genome shotgun sequence.
GCCUUCGUGGUGUAGUGGUUAGCACGCUCGGCGCGUAUUCGAGAGGUCCGUGGUUCGAGUCCAGGCAAGGGCA